AGCCAAGUCACGUGCUUCUGACAUAAUUUUGACUUUCGGUUCUGAGAACCUUUGGUGAAAAAUGUCGUACGGUGCAAACAUUACACAGCUGAAAGUGAAAGGAAAAGAGAAACAAGGCAGAAGAAGUCCAGAUGGGGAACGACCCAACAUGAGGAUUGUCCUGCUGGGAAAGAGUGUGUCAGAUAGCAGUCGAGUGGGAAACGUCAUAUUAGGACGAGCAGCAUUUGACAGUGAAGAUCCUCCAGAUGCUGUAGAGAGAGUUAGAGGAAGAUUGAAGAACAGAAAAGUGGUCAUCAUCAACAGUCCUCAGCUGCUGCAGCCUCAUCUGUCACUCCAUCAGAUCACACAGACAGUGAGAGAAUGUGUGAAUCUGUCUGAUCCAGGACCUCAUGUCUUCAUACUCGUACUGCAGUAUAAUGACUUCACUGAGGACGAAAAAUACAGAGUGAAAAUUAUCCUGAAAGAAUUCAGUGAAGAGGCGAUUAAACGUGCUAUAGUGAUCACAACUGAUAAAGAAACACAUGGUAAAGGGGCAUCUGUGAAUGAAUUAAUUCAACAGUUAACUGCAGAAUGUGGAGGAGGACAUCUGCAGUUUGAUACUGAAAUAGAGGAAUGGCACUCUAUAAUAUUGCAACGGUUAGAAAAGAUACUUAAGGAAAAUAAUGAAGAAUUUCUCAGUUGUGAGCAACAUGAUUAUGCAGGAAUUUCACAAGGAGCAGCAGAGGAUGAAGAAUGCAGCAGAUCGUUGGGUUCAGAGAGAACAGAGGAGAAAGAUUCUGAUGCAGAGGAUGAUGGACAACACAUAGACACCCAUACAAAGAAGAAAAAAGGAGGCAGAACUAUUCAGAGAAAACAGAAGCUGAACUUGGUGUUGUAUGGAAGUGAUGGAAAACUGAAAUCCUCUGUAUCAAAACUUUUAAGAGGAAAAAAGAAGUUAUUACCUUCCUUACAUCAGAAAGAGAACGAGUGUGUGAGGAAAGACAAUGAGAAUCAUGGUCGUCUGAUCAAUCUGGUGGAGCUUCCAGCUCUUACUCGGCUCUCAGAGGAAGAAGUGGUUUGUCAAACUCAUCUAUCUGUGUCUCUCUGUCAUCCUGGAGUUCAUGUUUUCCUCCUCAUUAUUCCUGAUGCUACACUGACUGAUGAAGACAAAGCAGAAAUGACGAUGAUCCAGAAGAUAUUCAGCUCAAGAAUCAAUAACCACCUCAUGGUUCUCAUAUACCAAGAGAAGAAUGCAAUUAGUAAAAUGAUAAGUAAAAAAAGCACUCUACGUAAUACUUCAGCUACUGAGACAUGUCUUGAAACAUUUGGAGGCCGAUGUUUUGUUUUGGAGAACAGCUCACAGGUUCCAGAUCUACUGCAGGAGGUGGAGAAUAUAGUAAAACAGAACAAAGGAAGUUGUUACACAACCUUUAUGUAUUUUCAGGCUCAAGUAGAACAGGAGAGAAAAAAAUACAAAGCUGAAAUAGAGGAAUUGAAAAGAUCUAAGAUGAAGACUGCAGCAGUUGGAGUAGAUGAUGGUGAUCUAAGGAUUGUGCUUCUGGGAAAGACAGGUUAUGGGAAGAGUGCAUCAGGAAACACAAUACUGGGAAAAAAAUAUUUUAAAACAUUAUUUCAAGCAUCCUCAGUGACCAGAGAGUGUCAGAAAGAAACAUCUGAGUUCAACAGAAGACGUAUAACUGUAAUUGACACUCCAGGCCUGUUUGAUACUGGAGUUGACAAUGUUGAGACCAGGAAGGAGAUUGUGAAGUGCGUCUCAAUGGCGGCUCCUGGACCACAUGUGUUUCUGCUGGUUAUUGAACUGCGACGAUUUACUCAAGAGGAAAAAGAUGCUGUGAAGAUGAUCCAGGAGAUGUUUGGCGAUCAAUCCGAAAUGUACACCAUUGUGCUUUUCACCAAAGGAGAUCAACUUGGAGAAACAAAAAUUGAAGAUUUUAUUGAAGGAGAUGCUAGUUUAAAGAACAUCACCCAACAGUUUGGUAAUAGAUACCAUGUGUUCAAUAACAAGGAGACUAAAGAUCAGAUGCAAGUUUCUGAGCUGCUGAAGAAAAUUGACUCUUUGCUGACCGAAAAUGGAGGGAGUUUCUACACCAAUGAGAUGUUCCAGCAGGUGGAGAAGAACAUCAAAGAGGAACAAGAGAGAAUCAUGAAAGAGAAAGAAGAAGAGAUCAAUCGAAGAGAAGAAGAGCUGAAAGCCAAAUAUGAAGAUGAAAUAGAACAAAUGAAGAAAGAAAAUGAAAGAGAAAGACAAGAGAACCAGAAUGAACUGAGAAAGAGAGAAGAAGAUUUUAAAAAGAGAGAAGAAGAGAUCAAGAAAGAAACAGAUGUGAAUGUACAAAAAGAGCUGCAGAGAAAACUGGAGGAGCAGCAGAAACUAUUUGAAGAGGAGUAUAAAAGAAAAGAAAAGGCUUUGGAGGAACAACAGCAGAAAUUCAUAAAUCACUUGGAAAAAAAACAUGAGGAAGAAAAACAAAAACUCCAGGAAAGAAUUCAACAUGAAACAAGACAACAAGCAGAACGUGAAUAUCUUAGAAAACUAGAGACAGAAGUGGCUAGAGCUUUAAAAGAAGCUGAAGAAAAAUUACCAUACAGAUCAAAGCGAGCUCGUGACUGGGGUGACUAUGUUCCUCUUGUUGGAGGAGUUUUUGGAGGAGCUAUUGGUUCUGUAGAAGACAUUGUACACUGGAUUAUCGAGUUACAUAAAGAUUAACCUCAAACUGAAGAAAGUCAAAAUCAAACUGAAGGGUGAGUUCAGCAUAUUAAAAUAAAUGUGUGCUUAAUGCCCGAUUUCUGUUUGUAGUGUCAUGGUUUUGUUGAAAUUUGUGUAUAUAAAUGUUACAUUUUACUCUUUUUUUUUUAUCUCUAUUGCUUUACAAAUUACAGAACUCUGACUCAGUGAAAUCAGACCAUUGAAUCAACAACAAUGAAAAUUCAACAGUCAGUGUGCAGGAUUAAUUUUCAGUUGAAGAUGAUUUCCUCCUAAUAUGAUGAUGAUGAAAAAAACAGAGACAUAAUACAGGAUCAGAAAACAUCUGCAGUUUAUUCAUAACAAAUCAAUGCAGCAUUCAAAAGAAGGAAAGUAAUAAGUGGAUUACUUUCAGGAUGUAUCCUUCUAAUUAAACUAAAUCAUUUGCUAAUGUUUUUUUUUAUAUUUAUAAAUGAUCUUUUACAAUUUCAUUGUUCUUCAUAAACACCUUGAGAAACUGUGUUGAGACAAUUCUUUAAUGUUUGUGAUAAAAUGCUGAAGUCACAGACAGACUUCAACAUUGAGCACACGAAUCACAACAAUGGUAACAAUCCACUUUUAUUUAAUUUUAUUAUUUGUGACAAUAACCAUUUUAUUAUUUAUAUAUAAUAUAUUAUUAUAUAGUUAUUAUAUAACUACUGACACAAAACAGUAAAUAAAAUUAGCAAAUAAAAACAACAACAGUAAAACAAAGCAAUUGCAUAAUUUAUUCACACUGCAAUGCACUCUGGGAGUGAGUGAGUAGCUAUAGUAAGUCAAGAGUAAACCUAAAGUAAAGGAUCAAGUACCCCCUACAGUUCUUUUUUAGUUACUAGAACUCCCGUGUAAGUAAACUAUAGUAACUAAGCAUUUGUCAGUACAAUAUACUAUUCGUAUUUCACUUUACUGUGCAUGAUCGGUUUGCAUGUUUUUUUUUAAGUAAGCCCAACUAAUUAGAUUUAUAUUGUUAGUAUAAAUCACUAAUUUAUACUAAUUACUAAUUACUCAAAUGUUACCUUGUGAGCCCGCUUUAGUAUUAGUGAGGGGUUAAGUUGUUUCCUGUAGGCUGACAAGGUAUACCUGCUGAAGUAAUUAAUGAGGGGUUGACAUAAAUUUCACAAGUAAUUUUUAGACAUGUAUACUGUUAUUAAUUGAUCAUAGCUAUCAAGUAGGUUUCAGUGAGGAUAUUUUUAUGUAGAAAUUAUUUCAUAUAUAAUAAGAAACUACCUUUGUCCUAAAUGUACUAUUACUUACUGUUUAGUUAAUCUUGCUUCCAUAUGAGUUAAUAGUAUUAAGUUCAGUGUUAAUGUAGUGCUACUUACUUCACUACUUCCCAGAUAGUUACUUGUUAACAGCGGUGCAUUUUUCUAAAAGAGCUGUAGUUAAGUUGUCACGAUAUCUGAGAGAGGACUCAAAACACAGAAUAAGUGUUAACACAUUUAUUGACAAAAACAGGAGACCAGAGAUGGUGGGAGGGAUGGUGAACACAGUUCAAACGGUAGGUAAAGAUGCAGCACAGGGGCAAGCAGGCUGAGGAAGGGCGGCCUCUGAAUCCAGCCCAGGAUGGCAGAUAAAGGGGAGCAGUCCAGGUGCUCAGCCUGUAAGACAGGACAGGACAAGGCAUAACAAACAGAUGGGUAGGGAGUUCUUGGUAAGACAAAAGUUAAUCAGACAAACUAGCAACACCGCUAAGUUGAACAACAAACUGGCAAAACAAGAGGGAACAGGAGAACAAUAUAAAGGAGAACAUGAACAGGUGAGAAUCCUCAGACAAACAAGGGCUAAACAAGGGGGCAUGGCAGUGGGUAACAAGGAGGCAGGAUGAGGGAAGCACAUGGCAAACACAAACAAAGACAAAGCCAUGUGCUCAAACACAACACAAACAAAGAAACAUUGAACAAAGACAAAACAGAAAAGACUGUCAGGGGUGAUCCCUGACAUAAGUGGCAUAUAUAUGGUUAUGUAUAUGACUGACUUUCUUCAGAUGAACACAAAGUGUUUUAGAAAAAAUAAGCCAUCUGUCUGCAUAUAAUGCAAGUGUGCAGUGUAAGGUAGAUCUUCAAGAACCCAACUGAGUUCUCAGGAAUCUACUAGUGUCUGUGAUAAGGCCAAAACAAAAAUGAUGGCUCACCCACAGUAGCAUGUUUAACUUGUAUUCUCUGUUUCAGUGUGUUUUUUGAUUAUAUCAGGUUUGUCCUAUUGUAUGACCUAGUUUUCCCUCUCGUUAAUUAUCUUAUCAGCCCUUGUGUUUAAAAACCUUUUGUUUAAAAAAGUUCUGCCUUUGCUCUCUGUCCAUUCUCAUCAAUGUAUCACCAAUGCAUUUGUGUUAUCACCAGUGUGUUUGUUUAUUACGUUACUCUUCAUAUUCUUCGUCUUUGUGAGUGUUUAUACAGGUUAUGUGACACUAUGUUAGUGCUAAUGUGGGAUUUAUUAAAAUAAAAUGCAGAAAUGUAACAAGUACUUUUCAAAUUCAAAUAAAAUUGUAAGGAGUAAAAAGUACUGUUUUUUUCCCUCAGAAAUGCAAUCAAGGAAAAGUGCAAAUAGACAGUUUAAAUUAAGGUUCAAGGUAAAGAAAGUAUGUUCAACUGAAAUUUUUAAAUUGCAAUUAACAUUUUGUAAUAGUGUUUUUUUUUUAAAUUAUUAUUAUAAUUAGAUCAUCUGACAGAAAAAAAAGAUCAGCCACAAAAUGAGAUGAAACAGAAUAAAACUUUUUUAAAGCUACUCACAAAAAGGAUGUUAAUUAACCCUUUAACUGUCACCCCCCAUUUUUUUUAAGUUAUAGAAGUUUAAAUUUACUAAAAAGAAAAUACACUAUACCAUUUUUAUUUUAUUUUAUAUAAAAUACAUAUUUUACAUAACAGGUUUUAUCCUAAAUUUGGUAUCAAAUUGAGGCCUUAUGUCUAAAUAAGUUAUGUUCCAAAUUUGAAGUUGAUAUGAAAAAAUUGAGGUUCCUGUAAAAGUUUGUUUGGGGCGUAAUACCACAAACAGCCACCGGAUGCCAUACAAACGCUAUAGAAUUUUUUUAAAUGCAUUUUUCUGUCACAAACGUCUAAAUUUCUCUGUCAAUUUAACUUCUAUCGCAAAAUACCCACCAAAUAUCAAAUCCUGAGACUCAGACCUUUCCAAUGACUUUUUAUAAUCUUGUUUGUCAAGAUUAUAAAAAGUUUGGAUUCUAAAAGACCAUAAGCAUUUUGUAAUAUGACACUUGAUACCGCUGCUAAGGGGGAGGAGACCGCCAAAAGAUUUUACAGUACCAUUUCCAUUUCAUAUUUUAUAUGGCUUUCAUAGGAUGAUUCUUGGGCUUCUAAGCUUUCAAAUGAUAUAUAAUUUGUGAUGAUUACUAAAAUAUUUGAUAGAGAAAAAGGACAACGUAAAAAAGAGCGCCAAGCGUCCCACAGGUGGGACGGUGACAGUUAAAGGUUAAUAACACAUUUUUUGUGUUAUGGCUAUUUUAACACAUUUUGUGUAAUUUUAAGUUGAUCAUGUGUAAAAGAGAGAGAGAGAGAGAGAAAGAGAGAAACAACACAGUGUGUCCAACACAACAUGUGUUAACUAUCAUCCAAUCACAUUGCUGCUACGUCACUCCGCAAGUCAUUAAGCAAGUUCGCGCCUCUUUCUCCAUCGGUGGGUGACUUGGAUGCACAUAUGUUAGGUUGCACCAAAGAACAUACGAGAAGCUGGUCCAAGUAGUCAACAGAAGUUACCCUUGUAAUGAUGAGAAACAGAUGUUGGCAGAAAGUGUGGUAACACUGUUUCCUUCUCUGAAGAUCAAGAUGGAAGAAGAGAAUGAAGGAUUUGAACAUUUCUAUGACCCAGUCUCCCACAGUGGAUUUAUUGAGAUGAGACUUAGAAAUCUACGGAGGAAACUUCAUGAUGAUCAGCGUCGCUACCAGCGCAAACGUAGUCGAAUCAGUGCUUCCUCUGGAGUGUCUAUUACUUUGGAUAUAACUGCUGAAGGGGAGGAAGACUCCACUCAGGAGUGGACGACUGUGAUCAAAAGGAUGAAACCAUCUCCAGAAAACCUCAAUACCAUCAAAUUGGGCAUGGAGAAAACAUACAGUAUUCGCAGGUUAUGGAUUGCAAACACGUCCCCACAGUGCAAGAGAUUUUUGAACAGUAUCAUCAAUUUGUAGACAUGCCAUACUUGGUAAAGGACAUACUGUGUUUUGCAUGUUUUUUGUUUUUGUUUUUAAGGUAUGAAAGACUUUGGCUAUGAACUUGACACAUGUAGCACUGUUCUCGUUUCUCACUCUGUUAAUGCAUUCGGUCAGACUUUUCAAACUGGUUGUGUAAUUGCUUUAAACCGUGCUGCUGAUGUAAAACCACUUCACAUGAUUUCUAACAAAGAAAACCUUUUUGUAAAUCCAAGAUAUAAAAUUGUUUAAAAAUGUCUUUAUGAAAUUCAAAUGACAUGUGAAUAUUGCCUUUGUGAAAAUU